CCACAUAUGUGCCUAGUAGCACCAGAGUCAACCACUCAGUCUUUCAUAUUUGCUAUCUUAUUUACCUGAAAAAUGACCGCAGUAAUAAUCUAUACCUCCACCAAGUUUGCAUUUGGUUUAGCAAAAUUGUUGUUUCUCUUUCUAUAUCUACAUUGAGGUGCAUGAUGCCCUAGUUUGCCAAACAUGAAGCAUGCUCCUUUUUUCUUAAAGAUCGAAUUAUUAUGUUUGG
rnacentral:lncRNA from 1 species